rnacentral:lncRNA from 1 species
UGAGGCAACGGUGGCUCGAUAAGCAUCAACCUUUUGCAUGGGAGAAGCAGCUCUGCAAAUAGUAUUUAAAGGAUCUUCAGACGAACCUCCGCUGCCACUUUGUGCAGGACUGCGACCACGAUUUGGAAUCUUAACAAUCAACUUGGGUCCAUUUCCCUCAGCAGAAGGUCCAUUUCCCUCAGCAGAAGGUCCAUCUAGUACCUUUUCACUUGUCAAUCCUGGCUGUGAUGAUUUUUCUGGAGCUGGAUUCUUGUGCAAAGACGACCUUCUGCUUGACACGGUUUCUCUUUGAACUCCAGAGAGAGCGGGUCCUGGGAAGCCAUUGGCUGAUUUCCGAGGUCGGGAAGAGCCACCCGAUACUUUCACAUUCAUUGAACCAGCAGUAGAGCUCCUCGCAUCCUCUUUUCCAAACAUACCUCCAGUUCUUGCAUGAUCAUUCGAACACGACUGACUGUUGUUGUGAGAUUGACUAGAACUGCUACUUUUCUCAUCCCUUGGAGUUGUCGAAGGAAGAUCAACUGUGACGCCAACAGCAACAAUUUGAGGCAGUCCAUCUUUUAAGUUAGAACUUGCUGACACUGGUGAGGGAACCGAUUUCAAAGAUCCCGGGGAUACCGAAGCAGAUUUGGUACUAUCUCCAUGGACAAGCUUAACUGAAGCAGAUUUGGAUGCAGAAAGCUGUGUGACCGAGCUCUUCACGGCAACAUCAGCGGAUCCACCAGAAUGUCUGUUUCCACCAUGAGAAACUUCUGGGAGGCGUGGUCUUGGAGACCAGGAGACGGCCGCAUUUAAAUUGGACUUAGCAUCCAUUUCAGCUUCAACUCGUUUCUUCCAUGUAUCAACUAAGCUUCUUGCUUUCUUUUGUAUUUCCAAGUUCUUAUGCAUCCGUAAGUGAUUUACAGACUUUCCAAUGUUACACAUUUGCAGAGCAUUAAGAUUAACAGGCAGCUUAUCCAGUGCCCGAAGUAAAACCAAGAGAAACUCCUCUAUAGAUUUGUCACUAUCUUUGGGUCCAUUCCCAUCACCUGCCUUCCCUUUAUGUCCAACCUCUUGGAUCCAUUCAUCGAAUACUGGCACACCCUUGAACACAAAUUGACUAAGGCAAUCAAAUUUAUCUGUGGCUGCUAUGACACUAGCAAGCAUUAACCGGCCAGCCAAGUCUACUUUUUU